CCUACGGGAGGCAGCAGUGGGGAAUCUUAGACAAUGGGCGCAAGCCUGAUCUAGCCAUGCCGCGUGAGCGAUGAGGGCCUUAGGGUUGUAAAGCUCUUUCGUGGGGGAAGAUAAUGACGGUACCCCAAGAAGAAGCCCCGGCUAACUCCGUGCCAGCAGCCGCGGUAAUACGGAGGGGGCUAGCGUUAUUCGGAAUUACUGGGCGUAAAGCGCACGUAGGCGGAUUGGAAAGUCAGAGGUGAAAUCCCAGAGCUCAACUUUGGAACUGCCUUUGAAACUCCCAGUCUUGAGGUCGAGAGAGGUGAGUGGAAUUCCGAGUGUAGAGGUGAAAUUCGUAGAUAUUCGGAGGAACACCAGUGGCGAAAGGCGGCUCACUGGCUCGAUACUGACGCUGAGGUGCGAAAGCUGGGGAGCAAACAGGAUUAGAUACCCUGGUAGUCCACGCCGUAAACGAUAGAUANCACGUCGUCGGGUAGCAUGCUAUUCGUGACACACCUAACCGUAAGUAAGUACAUCCGUCCGUCGGGUAGGUACGGACCGGCCGAACGGUUAAAACGUUAACAAAGAAAGUUAGACGGCGNGAGACGUAGCCGAACGGACGACGACGACGGGAAGGUAGGAG
rnacentral:rRNA from 1 species